UACGUAGGGGGCUAGCGUUGUCCGGAAUCAUUGGGCGUAAAGAGCGUGUAGGCGGUCCGGUAAGUCCGUUGUGAAAGUCAGGGGCUCAACCCUUGAAUGCCGGCGGAUACUGUCGGGCUAGAGUCCGGAAGAGGCGAGUGGAAUUCCCGGUGUAGCGGUGAAAUGCGCAGAUAUCGGGAGGAACACCUAUGGCGAAGGCAGCUCGCUGGGACGGUACUGACGCUGAGACGCGAAAGCGUGGGGAGCAAACAGG
rnacentral:rRNA from 2 species